UACGGGGGGGGUAAGCGUUGUUCGGAAUUACUGGGCGUAAAGGGCUCGUAGGCGGCCAACUAAGUCAUACGUGAAAUCCCUCAGCUUAACUGGGGAACUGCGUGUGAUACUGGAUGGCUUGGAUUUGGGAGAGGGGUGCGGAAUUCCAGGUGUAGCGGUGAAAUGCGUAGAUAUCUGGAGGAACACCGGUGGCGAAGGCGGCAUCCUGGACCAAUAUUGACGCUGAGGAGCGAAAGCCAGGGGAGCAAACGGG
rnacentral:rRNA from 1 species